GGACAAAGAGUCAAAAAUCAACUGUGAACUGUUUUGUGCCCAAGGUGUCCAUGCCAUAGAAGUCUAACACUAACUUCUUUCAAUAUGCAUAAGGUUCAGUUCCAUGGUCUCUACUCCUCAGAACCGUCAGACAUUCAUUAAGUCAGUUAUCAGAUUCCUUCGUCAAUAUAACUUUGAUGGCCUCAACCUGGACUGGCAGUACCCUGGGUCUCGAGGAAGCCCUCCUAAGGACAAACAUCUCUUCAGUGUUCUGGUGCAGGAAAUGCGUAAAGCUUUUGAGGAAGAAUCCACUUUGAACCACAUUCCAAGGCUGCUACUCACUUCCACAGGAGCUGGAUUCAUUGACGUAAUCAAGUCUGGG
rnacentral:lncRNA from 1 species